UACAGAGGUCCCAAGCGUUGUUCGGAUUCACUGGGCGUAAAGGGUGCGUAGGCGGGCGGCCAAGUCCGGGGUGAAAGCCCCCAGCUCAACUGGGGAAGUGCCUUGGAAACUGGUCGUCUUGAGGGAGGUAGGGGCAUGUGGAACUUCGGGUGGAGCGGUGAAAUGCGUUGAUAUCCGAAGGAACGCCGGUGGCGAAAGCGACGUGCUGGAUCUCUUCUGACGCUGAGGCGCGAAAGCCAGGGUAGCGAACGGG
rnacentral:rRNA from 1 species